rnacentral:lncRNA from 1 species
AUCGAUAGUUUCUAAGUUCUGGACAUUUCAUCUUACAACAUGCAUGUGACCUCAGAAAAUUAGAAUUAAAGCCAGAAGUGAGAUAAUUGGCAAAGCUAAGAGAGUACUAAAAUUUUGACUAAUAACAAAACUAGGCAUAAUUAUAUGAGUCAGAUGUUACUAGAAAAAUAUCUUUGAUUGGAAUUGAGAUUUGUGAAAAAAAUCCAACAUAUGAAUGUUCUCUGCACAUUAGCACCAAAAUAGGGGUGGAGGAGAAGAGGAGUUGCAUGAUAUUAAAGCGUAGCGCUAGUAAGUAACCAGGUUACUGUAGAGAUGCCAUCUA